AAUCAACGCUGGCGGCGUGCCUAACACAUGCAAGUCGAGCGGGAAAGGGGGCUUCGGUCCCUGAGUAUAGCGGCGGACGGGUGAGUAACACGUGGGUAAUUUGCCCUUGGGUGUGGAAUAACUCAGGGAAACUUGAGCUAAUACCGCAUGACAUCCCCUUCACACACGAGUUGGGGAUCAAAGCCGGGGACCCUUCGGGGCCUGGCGCCUGAGGAGAAGCCCGCGCCCGAUUAGCUAGUUGGGAGGUAAUGGCUCACCAAGGCUUCGAUCGGUAGCCGGCUGAGAGGGCGGACGGCCACACUGGGACUGAGACACGGCCC
rnacentral:rRNA from 1 species